ACUGCCUCGUUCACAUGGCGAACGCCGCUGUUCAUUUUCCCAUCAUGAGUGGUGAGGCACCAGACCAUUGCGACACCUUCGUUUCCCUGAGUGUGACUGUCAACUGGAGUGAAGAGGCGGGAGAAGUGAUCCGGGACUCGUUAACUGGCGCACG
rnacentral:lncRNA from 1 species